rnacentral:rRNA from 1 species
AACGUACGCUGGCGGCAGGCCUAACACAUGCAAGUCGAGCGCCCUCGCGAGGGGGAGCGGCGGACGGGUGAGUAACGCGUGGGAACGUGCCCCUUGCUACGGAAUAGCCUCGGGAAACUGGGAGUAAUACCGUAUGUGCCCCACGGGGGAAAGAUUUAUCGGCAAGAGAUCGGCCCGCGUUGGAUUAGGUAGUUGGUGGGGUAAUGGCCUACCAAGCCGACGAUCCAUAGCUGGUUUGAGAGGAUGAUCAGCCACACUGGGACUGAGACACGGCCCAGACUCCUACGGGAGGCAGCAGUGGGGAAUCUUAGACAAUGGGCGCAAGCCUGAUCUAGCCAUGCCGCGUGAGCGAUGAAGGCCUUAGGGUUGUAAAGCUCUUUCGUGGGGGAAGAUAAUGACUGUACCCCAAGAAGAAGCCCCGGCUAACUACGUGCCAGCAGCCGCCGUAAUAC